UACGUAGGGGGCAAGCGUUGGUCCGGAUUUAUUGGGCGUAAAGAGCGUGUAGGCGGCCAUGUAGGUCCGUUGUGAAAACUCGAGGCUCAACCUCGAGACGCCGAUGGAAACCAUGUGGCUAGAGUCCGGAAGAGGAGAGUGGAAUUCCUGGUGUAGCGGUGAAAUGCGCAGAUAUCAGGAAGAACACCCGUGGCUAAGGCGGCUCUCUAGUACGGUACUGACGCUGAGACGCGAAAGCGUGGGGAGCGAACAGG
rnacentral:rRNA from 1 species